UGCAAGUCGAGGGGUAACAGAAAAGCUGGCGUUUUGCUGACGACCGGCCCCUUAAGAGGGUAACGCGUAUGCAACCUACCUCAUACUGGCCCGUUAGAAAUGUGGAAACGGGGAUUAAUACGUCGAUAGUAUCACANUUUCGCAUGUUAUUGUGAUUAAAGUUUUUCGGUAUGAGAUGGGCAUGGGUCCCAUUAGCUUGUUGGUGAGGUAACGGCUCACCAAGGCAACGAUGGGUAGGGGGCCUGAGAGGGUGGUCCCCCACACUGGUACUGAGACACGGACCAGACUCCUACGGGAGGCAGCAGUGAGGAAUAUUGGUCAAUGGAGGAAACUCUGAACCAGCCAUGCCGCGUGAAGGAUGACGGCCCUAUGGGUUGUAAACUUUUUUUAUAGAGGAAGAAACUUGUCUACGUGUAGACAACUGACGGUANUCUACGAAUAAGGAUCGGCUAACUCCGUGUCAGCAGCCG
rnacentral:rRNA from 1 species